rnacentral:lncRNA from 1 species
GCCACCCCACGCGGCAUACCAAGCUCCUGGGCCAGUGAGCAAAUUCAAGAGGCAGCUGCGACUUAGGCUGCAGCUGCGGCAACACCACCUUCUUAACCCACCGUGCCCCAGCCGGGGAUUGAACCUGCGUCCUUGCAUUGCAGAGAUGCUGCUAAUCUCCGUGCACCACAGUGGGAACUCCUCUUGGGGGCCCUUGGAUAAGGGAACUUAGCCCAACAGUGAGGGCUCCGUCUUCACCACUUAACCCCCAAAGCUCCCACCCCCUGACCCCCACCAUCAUCUUGGGGAUGUGUAUCUCAACACAGGAAUUUGGGGGGCGAUAUACCUUCAGACCUCAGCAGCAAGCCAAGUGGUCUCCAGACAGUGUCAAGUUCCCCGAGAGACACAAUGGGCCCCUGUGGAGAAUCACUGGUGUAAUUAGAAGAUGAUUAGAAAAAGUUGACAGGAGAGAUGGGAUUAAGAGGGCAGAACAGGAGGACUGGAGCUCAACUUCUCUCCUAAAAACAACAAAAGUCACAACUAAAGGCUGAGCACUCUUCACCCAAAUGGACCGGAAACCUUCAAAAAGAUACCCUACUCCAGAAGACAAAGAGGAGGCCACAUCAAGAGGAAGGAGGGGCGAUUACGUGAUAUAAGCAACCCCAUCCCUCCCAGGUGGGAAGCCCCACAGAGUGGAAAGUAACUGGUUCACAGAGACUCACCUCCAGGCGUGAGAGUUCUGAGCCCCACAUCAAACCCUCACGUGCGGGAAGCUGGCACUGAGAGAAAGAGCCCCGGAGCAUCUGGCAUUGAAAGCCAGUGGGGCUCGUGCACAGGAGCUCCACGGGACUGGAGGAAGCGGAGACCCCAUUCUUAAAAGGCACACACAGACUUUCACGUGCACUGGGUCCCAGGGCAAAGCAAAGUCUCCAUAGGAAUCUGGGUCAAACCUGACUGCAGUUCUUGGAGGACCUCCUGGGAAAACAGGGGUGAAUGUGGCUUGUGGUGAGGGCAGGACAUUGGAAGCAAAACUCUCGGGAGUAUUCAGCAGCAGCCUUUCUCUGGAGGGGGCCAUUUGGGGAAAAUCUGGCCCCACCCGGCAGUCAGUCAGCAGCUGAGAAGCCCCAGGGCAAACAACCAUCCAGUGGAAUCACAGCCCCUCCUCUCAGUAAAUGGCUGCCUAAAGACCCCCAGGCACACAGCGGCCUCUAAUCCCAUCCAGAGACUAAACCCUGCUCACCAGAGGGAUUCAAAUCGGCUCCACCUACCAGUGGGUAGGCAUCAGCCCCUCCCAUCAGGAAGCCUACAGCAAGCCAACCUCAGCCACAAGGGGGGCAGCCACCAGAAGUAAGAGAGGCUACAACUCUAUUAUCUGUAAAAAGGUCACCACACUAAAACCCUAUACAAAUGAAAAGACAGAGGACUCUAACUCAGAUGAGGGAGAAAGAAAAACCCCCAGAAAAUCAGCUAAGCGAUGAGGAGAUUCUCACCUCCAGGAAAAGACUUUAGACUGCUGAUGCUGAAGAUGAUGCAAGACAUUAGAAAAAGUGACAGGAGUUCCCGUGGUGGCUCAGCGGGUUAAGAAUCCAACUAACAACCAUGAGGAUGCGGGUUCGCUCUCUGGCCUCACUCAGUGGGUCAGGGAUCGGCGUGGCUGUGGCUGUGGUGUAGGCCGGCGGCUAUGGCUCCGAUUUGACCCCUAGCCUGGGAAUCUCCAUAUGCCGCAGGAGCGGCCCAAGAAAUGGCAAAAACAAAACAAAACACAAAAGAAACAAUCCACCUAGAACCUGGAUACAUUAAUACAUUGUGUUAAGUGCAAGGAGUACAGACUGUCCAAUUCCAUUUAUAUGAAAUUCAAAAACAGGAAGAACUGAAAAAAAGGGAGAGAAAGAGAAGUGGGUUAAGAACCAAGCUGUAGCAGCUUGGAUCCCUGCGGAGGGGCGGGUUCCAUGCCUGGCCCAGCACAGUGGGUUAAAGGAUCCAGUGUUGCUGCAGCUGCAUAGGUCCCAGUGGCAGUUCAGGAUCAAUCCCCAGCCUGGGAACUGACUUCUACAUGCUGUGGGUGUGGCCCUAAGAGAGAGAGGAGUGAGAGAGAGAGAGAGAGAGAGAGGGAGGGAGAAACAUCCAGAAGAAGGAAUCAAUGGCAUUAGAAGGAGAGGACAAGGGUGACCGUUGCAGGGAGAGGCACACGGAAGGCUUUAGCAGGGCUGGGGUGAUCUGCUUUUUAAAUCUUGCUUCCUGGACGGGCUCCCUUUGUGAUAAUUCACUGAGCUGUACACCCUUGGCGGCAGGCUCUCUUUUAUAU